rnacentral:misc_RNA from 1 species
UCCGAGUUGACCCCGGCAGUCUCCCAUGAGUCCCCACCAUUACGUGCUGGCAACAUGGAACGAGGGUUGCGCUCGUUGCGGGACUUAACCCAACAUCUCACGACACGAGCUGACGACAGCCAUGCACCACCUGUGAAAGUGUCCCGAAGGAAGACCGUGUUUCCACGGCGGUCACCCACAUGUCAAGCCCAGGUAAGGUUCUUCGCGUUGCCUCGAAUUAAGCCACAUGCUCCGCCGCUUGUGCGGGUCCCCGUCAAUUCCUUUGAGUUUUAGCCUUGCGGCCGUACUCCCCAGGCGGGGUGCUUAAUGCGUUUGCGACGGCACGGAAGGGGUUGAUGCCUCCCACACCUAGCACCCAACGUUUACGGCUGGGACUAC